GCUCCGGUGGCCUAGUGGUUAGAGCGUCCGCCUCAAAUGCGGGAGGUCGUGGGUUCGAUUCCCGGUCGAGUCA